GAUGAACGCUGGCGGCGUGCCUAAUACAUGCAAGUCGAGCGAACAGACGAGGAGCUUGCUCCUCUGACGUUAGCGGCGGACGGGUGAGUAACACGUGGGUAACCUACCUAUAAGACUGGGAUAACUUCGGGAAACCGGAGCUAAUACCGGAUAAUAUAUUUAACCGCAUGGUUCAAUAGUGAAAGACGGUUUUGGUGUCACUUAUAGAUGGAUCCGCGCCGCAUUAGGUUGUUGGUAAGGUAACGGCUUACCAAGGCGACGGCGCGUAGCCGACGUGAGAGAGUGAUCGGCCGCACUAGAACGGAGACACGGUCCAUGCUCCUGAGGGAGGGAGCAGUAGCGUACCUUCGGCAACAGUGGGAAGCAUGGCGGAGCGGCGCGGCGUGAGUUGUGGCGGUCUUCGGUUCGGGAUGAUCUGUUAUUGGGGAAGAACAAAUGUGUAAGUAGAUAUACACUUCUUGACGGUACCUGGUCAGAAAGCCACGGCUAACUACGUG
rnacentral:rRNA from 1 species